UACAGAGGUCCCGAGCGUUGUUCGGAUUCAUUGGGCGUAAAGGGUGCGUAGGCGGCGGGGCAAGUCUGAUGUGAAAUCCCGUGGCUCAACCCCGGAACUGCAUUGGAUACUGCCUUGCUCGAGUACUGGAGAGGGAACUGGAAUUUACGGUGUAGCAGUGAAAUGCGUAGAGAUCGUAAGGAAGGCCGGUGGCGAAGGCGAGUUCCUGGACAGUUACUGACGCUGAGGCACGAAGGCCAGGGGAGCAAACGGG
rnacentral:rRNA from 1 species